rnacentral:rRNA from 1 species
ACUGCUCAGUAACACGUGGAUAACCUGCCCUUGGGUCCGGCAUAACUCCGGGAAACUGGAGAUAAUUCCGGAUAACGCAUAUAUGCUGGAAUGCUUUAUGCGUCAAAUGGAUUCGUCUGCCCAAGGAUGGGUCUGCGGCCUAUCAGGUAGUAGUGGGUGUAAUGUACCUACUAGCCGACGACGGGUACGGGUUGUGAGAGCAAGAGCCCGGAGAUGGAUUCUGAGACAUGAAUCCAGGCCCUACGGGGCGCAGCAGGCGCGAAAACUUUACAAUGCGGGAAACCGUGAUAAGGGGACACCGAGUGCCAGCAUCAUAUGCUGGCUGUCCAGGUGUGUAAAAUACACCUGUUAGCAAGGGCCGGGCAAGACCGGUGCCAGCCGCCGCGGUAACACCGGCGGCCCGAGUGGUGAUCGUGAUUAUUGGGUCUAAAGGGUCCGUAGCCGGUUUGGUCAGUCCUCCGGGAAAUCUGAUAGCUCAACUAUUAGGCUUUCGGGGGAUACUGCCAGACUUGGAACCGGGAGAGGUAAGAGGUACUACAGGGGUAGGAGUGAAAUCUUGUAAUCCCUGUGGGACCACCUGUGGCGAAGGCGUCUUACCAGAACGGGUUCGACGGUGAGGGACGAAAGCUGGGGGCACGAACCGGAUUAGAUACCCGGGUAGUCCCAGCCGUAAACGAUGCUCGCUAGGUGUCAGACAUGGCGCGACCGUGUCUGGUGCCGCAGGGAAGCCGUGAAGCGAGCCACCUGGGAAGUACGGCCGCAAGGCUGAAACUUAAAGGAAUUGGCGGGGGAGCAC